UGACCCGUCUUGAAACACGGACCAAGAAGUCUAUCUUGCGCGCGAGCCAAUGGUCGUCCUCCGGAACACCAAAGGCGCAAAAAACAUAACUUGAGUUGUGCGGGAUUACGGGCGCGGCUCUCUGCAGCGUCCCUCCAUCCCCGGGUGUUGUAUCCGGCAUGCGGUGGUGGCCCCCGGGCCGCUACCGUGCCACAACAUACCGUGAGUGUGCAGGAUGUGACCCGAAAGAUGGUGAACUAUGCCUGAUCAGGUUGAAGUCAGGGGAAACCCUGAUGGAGGACCGAAGCAGUUCUGACGUGCAAAUCGAUUGUCAGAAUUGGGCAUAGGGGCGAAAGACCAAUCGAACCAUCUAGUAGCUGGUUCCUUCCG
rnacentral:rRNA from 2 species